rnacentral:rRNA from 1 species
CCCUUAGAUGUUCUGGGCCGCACACGCGCUACACUGAAGGAGGCAGCGUGUACUCCUGGAUCGAAAGAUUUGGGUAACCCGCGAAUCUCCUUCGUGCUAGGGAUUGAGGUUUGCAAUUAUCCUUCAUGAACGAGGAAUUCCCAGUAAGUGCAAGUCAUAAGCUUGCGCUGACUACGUCCCUGCCCUUUGUACACACCGCCCGUCGCACCUACCGAUUGAAUGGUCCGGUGAAGCCUCGAGAUUGUGGUUAGUUUCCUUUAUUGGAUGUUAGCCGCGAGAACUUGUCUAAACCUUAUCAUUUAGAGGAAGGUGAAGUCGUAACA